GAUGCAUUGGAACGAAGGGAGUAACUUGGAGGCCUGUCGACCAUCAUGUUACUUCCAGUUGGAGAAGUGCAUUUCUUUUUGUAUUUGUGUGUGUGUGUGUGGAGAAUAACCAGAAACAUAUUCAAGUUUUAAGGCUUUGAACUGCUUCACAUAUAUGAGAGAUGACUUGUGCAGAUACCAAUGGUUAAAAUGCAUACCACUUAGAACCCAUCCAACAAAAUUUCAAAACCAUUUAAUCUUACAAAUAUAAGACAAAUUAAGUGUUCCACAGAGGGCUACAAUUCAACCUUUCCCCUUGAGUUAAUUAUGCAUAACAAAUACAAUUUCUUAAUACGUCAUAGAUAAAAACCAAAUAUUUGUGUUUUAGUAACUAACCCAUGGCAUACUUUUGAGUCCAGCUUCGAGCAGUGGCUUCAUACUUGAUUUUAUCGGUCUUGAGAGCGUGUCUUCAUUCCAUCACCAUUACCUGUCUCUCUUGGAUAAACUAGCACAACGACAGUCAUUGAGCAUAGUGAGUUUUUUUCCAUAUGGUCGCAGAUGUGUUGUUCUUUCUAGCAAAAGGGUCCUAGCGCGAUUCUGAUUCUAAAUUCGGUUUUAUAAUAAACAAGACCAAUUUGCAAUUGCUGAAGCCAAAAAGGAGCUGGGAGAUGCAUCAUAACUUUAUUUUUCAAGCUGGAGAGCAGUAUGCUGAAUUUGUAGCACAUGCUAUGUUGUUGGAAUCUGAGAUUCAAAUUGCAACUCCAAAUCAACUGUUCGACUGCUUAAGCCACUACUUCAAAUUUGGCAUUAUUACUGGAGAUGAUGUUCAAUAUGAGCUUUCAGAGGUGCAGUGAUGUUGUUUAAUGGUGGUGGUCCUUCAAGAAAAUCCCAAGCCCAGUUUCUCAAAGAUAAGAAAGGUAAAAGAAGGUGAUGAGAGCUAUAUAGAAGGACAAUCAUAUGAGAUUCACUCUGUUUCUGAGCUUUCAACAGUAUCACAUUCGCCUCUUCAAGUUGAUGAUCCGAAAGAGGAGGAGAAGGAACUUUUCUAAUAAUUAAUAAGCAGUCCGCAAUCUAAAGAUACAGGUAGCUAUAACACAACACUUUCUGGGUGGUCUUCAGAGCCCAAUAUCAUAGCUGCCAACGACUACAAUAUUGCAAAGGAUGAACUCAAAAAAUUCUGCAAAUUCUUAUUAGCUGCGUCAUCCACCUGAUCUUUCUCUGUUGCUCGGAUCAACUGAUUUCUCUAUACUGCUCUUUGUUGAUACUCCAUCAUUAAUACCAUGAAGCAACGAAGCUGCAUAUAUAGUAGCACAUUAGUAAAAGGAUUCAGCUAAAUUUGACAGAUGAAUUAAGUAAGAUAAAUACUUCAUCUAUCUAUCAAGUUGCUUCGUUUCAUCAGCGAACACAAAGAAGGUCUUGAAGAACACCACACAUCUAAGGUAUCUUCACAGCUACUGGGAAAUUUCUUAGAAUAGUACUGUCAUUUGGUCUUGAAUCAUACUUAAGCCCCAAUAUUAUCCCCACCAAAAGUAAUUACCUGUGUAUCAAAUAUAGUUAUUUUGAUAUCAGCGAAAGUAAUUACCUUUGUCAUUAUGUAUUUAGUUUUGGUAUUUUUAUUUUUGCGUUAAACCAUUGACUAGAGGUGCAAUAUCUCGAGGGAUAGUUUUUCCAAGCCAUUUUUAGCCAUCAUAUUUGCUAUUC